CUGCAGAGAAAACAAAUGAAUAACUUCAUUCAUUCAUCACUAACAUCUUGAUGGAGAUACAGAAAUCAGUAAGAGUAGCUGUGCUACUGCAAAACUCAUCCUCCAGUGGAAAAGAGAGGAAAAAAAGACAGUGGUGAGAGCCUCCAUCCGGGGUACAGGUGCUCCCACAGCACCUGCGGGCCCGAGAACCCCUACUGCAUCCACCCAGGGCUGUUUAUGUCCACCAUAGUAGUGGCCAGGAAAGCCUGAUGACACAAUAUGAACCGAAGAGUAGGACGGAAGUUCUAGUUCCAGGAGUGGGUUCUGAGCCACACUGUGGCUGCCAUCUUGAUUGCUCCUUUUUUCCUCUUGGAUCAUUCUUUUAGGGUUGCCAAGUUGUGAGUGGUUCUCUGGAGAAGACCACAGGGCAGGGUGAAGAGCAAAGCUUUCUCAUGGCGCCCCCGAGUUCAUUUGGAAUCAGACUUCUAGCCCUGAAAGACCUUCAGCUAGGACUGCAGUCCUGGCUGACAGCAUGACUACAGCCUCAAGAGGGACUAAAAGGCAUUACCUCCCCUUGUCCUGCUCCCAGCAAGAUUCAAGUUGAACAGGUUCACAGAAUGUUAUGGGCUGAGGAGCAUCAAGCAUGAAGGGCCUGGAAUCUACCUAUGGAAUAUAACCCGUGGUAUCAUUUGGGCAGUCAGCUAGGAGACAACAGACAGCACCACACGUCUGCUACGAGAAGCUACCCAGCCAGAAAGGAAGGGCUUACAGUUGGCAGCAUGCCCUGGAUAAUGAAGAUCUGAGUGGAUACUUGGGAUGUACCAAGUUUGUGAGUGCCCUCAUUUGGCUUGCUUUCCUUUCCUUUCUCUCAGGGGAAACUCUAGUCCCCUUCUUGUUCUGAUGUUUUUGUUUAUCAGAGAAUUCAAACUCUUUGACUUUUUGGUGCUGGCCAGCCUUCUCGAACCCUAACUCUGAGCUGCCAUUUGAAAGGUUUCUUUUUGCAAGCUCCCUUAUGAUUGAUACUGGGGUGACCUAUACCAGUAAUUAGAAGAGAUAUACUCUUCAAGCUCAGGGCAACUAUAUUGUUCGAGCCUCUAGAAACCUGGGUCCUACUUGUUAUGAAUUCAACCAACCAAACCUGAUGGGAUUAGAUUUCUAUGCCUGGAGUGAUUCCGAAGCAUAAUAUGACUGAAGACUAAGUGGAGACCACUUUAGUAGCUAUUCAGCUGAAGGACCUUAAUCUAUACCCUCAUAGAAAACAGAUUUUUCCUUAAGAAAUAAGGAAAUGAGCCAAAGCCCAUCCUGAUAAAUUUCUGGCCAAAAAGUAUUGGGUUGCUGGUGUUAUGACAAUUCCCAUGCAAUACACUCAUUUUAUUGCUAGUCAAACUAUCAGAAGAGUAACACCUUCUGCAAGAUCUCAGAACCAUCAACAAGACACUGGCACCUAUUCUCCUGUUAGUAGCAGAUCCUUACAUACUUUUGGCAAAGAUCCUAGGAAACACUAAAUGGUUCUCUGUCUUUGAUCUCAAGGUUGCUGCCAUGUUUAUUCCUGAGGAUGGUUCCUUCCAAUGGUAUCUUCCAAUACUUGUUUGCCUUCAAAUGGGAAGAUCUCUAAACAAGACUUCACCACCAGUAUACCUGGACUGGCUUGCAUCAGGGUUUUAGAAAUAAUCCUCACUUCCUUGCACAGGCUUCAGCUCAAGCCCUGAGAGAUCUGAAGUUCAAAAGAAGAGGUCUAUUACAAUACAUACAUGUACUUCAUGUGUAACCCCACCAAAGAGUUAUCUGAUAAAAACACUGUCAAGUAUCUCAAUUUUCUAACAAAAAGGGAUUAAAAGAUAUCCUACAAAAAGGAGUUAUAAGGCAUACAUUUCUCAACAUGAAGUGACAUAUCCAGGGUACAUUUAAACACCAGAACAAAGACAACUGUUCUCAAGGGGUACAGAGCCAAUUUGUUAUCAGGGCUCCCUAGAGUCUAAAUAGAAACUUAGAGCUUCCUUCGAAAUGGUGGGCUUCUGCUGCAUUUUAUAGAAAAUAACCAGACACCUAUAUAAGACAACCUGAGGAUCAAAAAUUGAAUCCUUGAAAUGAACUAGAAGACACUCAAAAGGCCUUGAAGAACUUUACAUGGAGUCUCACACAGGACCCAGCAUUAGGAAUAUCUCAACUAACGGAGCCUUUUUCUCUUUUCAUGGCUAAAAAUCAUGGAGUAGUCAUGGCAGUGUAAACUCAGUGUUGAGGCCAGGAAAACUGACCCAAUGCAAUGGAGUAACACAGGGUUGACCCAGGUGUCUGUGAGUAGCCACUAUGCCACUUAGACCAAGAAGCUUCUAAAAUAACUGUAGUUCAAAAGCCCUUAGUUCUAACCCCACACCAGCUUAGAACUCAAGGGACAUUUGUAGAUGACUGGUAAAUUUCUUUCACCAGUCUUCAAACUAUUUAAAUCUAGCUACCUCCACUCCAAUUAACUAACAGGUAUAAUAUGAGUGUAAAAAAAACCUCUGCCUACAAUUGUGCCUCCUUCUCUGAUCCAAUGGACCAGCCAGUGAUAGGGAUGGCUAGCACAUGUGUUAUUUAUGGCAACAGUUUCAAUAAACAUGGAACUAAAAGGCCAGGUUAUGCCAUAGCCCUACCCUGGGGCUACCCAUUGAAACAAGAGGACUUCCUCCCUCCCGAGAUUUCCACCCAAAAGGUAGAAUGUCCUCACUGAGCUCUCCAAUUUGUCCAGGGCAAGAGGGUCAAUAAAUGUUCAGACUUUAAAUAUGCCUUUCUGGUCUUACAUGUGCAUAUGACUAUCUCAGAAGAAGGUAGUCCCUGACAACAACAUGCCCUAAAGGAAAAGGGCCACACACAACCCUUCUAACCACUCCUGCCAUUGAGGUAUGGUAUGGGAAAUAGAGUUGCUCUCCAAGGCAAAACCCAAGCUGCCUGAGACACCAUAAAACAAAGAGACCACAAACCUCACGAACUGUGAACCAGCGGACAGCUACAAGUUCCUUACAAUGAACCUGUUGAGCCAGAUAAAUAAAAUGUUUUGUUCCUGCUAAGUACAUUUUGUAGCUAGUCUUGCCACUAUCUUAUUUGAUACAGAUGAAGUCCUUGCCCCAUGCUAUAAUUUGACUUCUUUUGGUUUUCUCCUGUUUCUUUUGGGAUCCUCCUAGAUGAUUCAAAAGCUAUCUCUAAUAGAGAAAAUGAACAGUGAUUACUUACAUAAAACUUUACUCAAAUCUUUCUUCUAAACAUUAACAAUUACCCAAGAAUUUGACAAACAGCCUAGAUGAAGUUGCCCAGAGUAUUUUGCUAGAUCAAAUAGAUUCACUAACAGAAUUGGUCAUUGAAUGCUGUAGACACUAGAUUUCCUGACCACUGAAACAAAGGGGUUAUGUUUGCCUCUAAAAGAAAAAUGUAGUUCUUAUGUAAAUCAGUCUGAACUAGUGAGAGGUACUGCACAAAAACUGACUGGCUGUGUUUCUAAGACCCUCAGAAGGCUAUCUAAGUCAUGAAUGUCCUGGGCAAAUAUCUAACAUUGGAGAUCUUAAUUACUGUCUUAGACAUGGCCUUUAUUAACGCUUGUUAUAGCCUUACUAUUUAGAUCUUCCAUACUUAAUCUUUUAGUCAAAUUUGCUUCUUGUUUAAAUGUGUUAAACUACUGAUGAUGGCCCAAGCCCAGGAUCAAAACUUGCCUGCACACUUACGGCUCACUAGAGACCCUGACAUCAGACAAGGCAACAGUUCCUUGGUAUCCAGAUAGGGAGGGCAGAGCUCCUACUUGGCAGGAAGUAGCCAUGGAACCCUUCUUCCUUCUGCAGCCCCUAAAGUGUUUUGGGAACCAGCUCUCUCAUGGGAGAAUAGUACAGAUAGCACAACGGGCUAGGAGAUUUCUCCUUUCCAUUCACUUCCAUUUGAUAACACCCCAAAGCCGUUCUGCCUUCCAUCAUUUUUCUAAGAGAAACACCAAAUACCAAAGAACCUAAAAAUCUCUAUAGCUCCAGACCAGAGCGCAAGCAUUUAGAUCAUUCCUACCUUAUUAAAAGUUCAUAAAUAUGAACUACAUCUCAUACAUAUAAUUUAAUCAAAAUUAACUGUGGGGAAGUCCUGUGCACCACGCCCGCCAAUCCCUGCCAGUCUUAAUCAGAAACCCAGUGAGAGGCUACCAGGAUGGGAUGGGGUGCGCAUCUUUGAAAAUCUGAAUGCUUGAUUUACCUGUGUGUAGUGUGUUUUAUUUCCCUAUCAACCCAGCAUCACUUUUCUUUUCAUACCAUGUUUUUGUUGGUAUAGACUUGCCCUGAACGCAUCUCCCCUUGAUCUUUAAUAAACAGAGCUGCUUUUUCUUUUACCACUGAAUGUACACUAUGCAGGUCUUUGCUCAUUGUACACAAGCACCCAGAAUCUGCUUGUUGGGCCCAUCCUAGAGCAGCACAGCAACUUGAAUCAGGAUUGCUGUGGUCACUGGGCCCUGUUCAGGGUAAUGCUGAGUGGCCACCAUGACAUGGUCAGAGCUCCCCGACUGCAAAAUGGUGCCAGAGGAGCUCUUGUCUUUCUGCCAGGGGCCCAGGCUAUGAGUGCAAUAUAUGGACAAAGCAAAGGAGAGAAGGCUUUUCUAGGAAUGAAGCAGAGUGUACAGUUUCAGGGAUUCAGUGUGGGUCAAGGAUGAGUGAAGGGAGGGCUGACAGAUAGGCACAGUGGCCUGGAAUUGUACAGAGAAAAGCCCUACACAGGCAUGGAAAGGGCAUUGUCACCUCACCUAGCCCUGUGCUUCUAUGAUGGCCCUGCCGAGACCAGUGGCGAGCAGGUCUUUGUCUGGAUUCUCCUGUGGCUAUGUGAGUCAAGAUGAGGGAGCCUAGUACUUCCCAUCCCCUAGAGACCUGUCCCUGACCUACCCACUGCCUCUGUGCUGUCCUUAUCCAGUGGCAGCCCUGCUGCUCUCCCUGUGCUCCCAGUUCUUCUGGGCUUUGGCUCCUUGUCAGGAGGGCAAGGAGCUUAUCAUGGGGCACAUCUGAAGCCUGCUCAUCCCAAACAGGAAGGAUGCCUUUCUUUUGGCCUUUGGAAUCUCUCUGGGAACAGCUUCAACUUGAUGCUUCUAAGGAAUUAUUAAUCUAAUUGCAUGUUAGCUUAUAAUAUUAUUUAAACACAGAAAUUGUAGUUUUCAAAACCAGUUUUAAAAUAAUCAUUACCUUUAGUCCAACGAACUCUAAUACAACUAUGUUCAUUUUUCGUUUCCCUUUUCUAGCUUGUAGCCAUCCCCAUAGUUUAACUGAUAUAAUUGCAGUUGAAGCUCACACACCAGUUGGGAAGUGUUCUCUCACUUGCUGUGUCCGUUUUCCCACUUUCCAUGUGUCUACAAACUCUUCCAAACUACCAUUUCAGUGAAUAUGUUAUCUUUAAUAUAGUCCCUUCUCCGUAACUUACUUAAUGGUUUCCACAGUGCUGUACGCAGCGUUUGCUUCCCCAUCUUCUUGCUGAUAUUGCUAAUGUUAAUUAACAUACUCGUGUGCAUAGCUUUUCAUUUUUCUUCCUGGUGAGAUACUGACUCCUAAAGGGAAGAUGUCCUUGGGAAUGUUGAAAUAAACUGCUGGAAGCUCUGAAGCAGUUCUCACAUCUCCAAAAUGUGGCCGCAUGUAGACGGCAGAAUUUCCUCCUGUGAUGCUGAGAUUCAGGGGGCCUGGGGCAUGAUUCCCAUCAGCUCCCCCUUUCAAUGAAAUCAAUGAAAAUUUAGCCAGUUGCAUUUGGGUAAGUCCAUUGUUUUUGUUGCUCUUUUUCCUUUUCUUUUUCUAAAAUAUUAUAGAAGUCUUCAGGCCUAAUAGCUAACAUUUAUGUGGAAUUGCCAAAUCUAGGAAGCAAGACAGAGGGUCCUUCUCUGCCAUGCAUCUGUCCUUCAGAAGCCGGUUUUCCUCUGACAGUGCUGCCCGGAUAACCAUGCAUUCAAUUUCAACACUCGAGCAAAGAGGGAGCUGUUUCUCUGUAAUGCUGGAUAUAUCAAGUCAGAACAUAUCAAGGAUGACACUCCCAAUCAGAAGGGACCAAGAAUAAUUUUGAUCAUUAAAAAUCAUCACUUUUUAACAUUGGCAAGAGUUGCUGAUUUCAGGUAGGCUCUGGUUCAAGGUCUUAAAAUCUACAUUGUUUUAGCCAGAAAAUCACGAAGAAUUGAUUAAUUUUCAUUUUAGAAGAGGUUGUAGUUAUUACUGAUCGCUAAAAGAUUCGAAUGGAAUUAAGGCCACCUUUACAUGGAUGCUUUAGAAGGGGAGGCUAGAAAUAUGAUGUGCUUUACGACAGUCGUGACCAGGAUCAGGCAGCUGAGCAGUGCAGAAUGACAAUGUCUCAGGAAGUGAAAUUUAGGUCAUUUUUAUUCAUCAUGGAUGCAGAAUCACAGAUCUCUGGAAAAAAUGCUAAUAAAACAUCACACUCAGCAUAACGGUCUCCUCUCAUGCAGUGCCAUAAUGAUAAAUGAAAUGAUGUUAGCACAAGGCCAGCUCAGUUCUUACAGUUGGUGGAGCCUAGGGUUGUGACAGAAUUGGAAUACAGAGAAUUGAUUGGUCAUAACUCGGAGAAAAAUUUCCUAAACCUAUGCUGAUGCCUCUGCUCUGGUGGAGAAGUCUGAACUUUGAGAAAGACCUGAGAUAUUCAAAGUACCCACGCCUGCCUAGAUUUGAUGGGCAAAAGGGGGCUUAUAAGUAGAGCAUCUUUAUCCCAACCUGGUAACACCAUCUUUGUGUUAAGCAACCAGCAUGAGCCUGGGCCUCUGCUGGCCCCUGGGAAUAUAGUUAGAAGGCGGGACCCUGGUCCUAGCUCUCAGGAGCUUACAUUCCAGCAAGGAAGAUGCGAUUAUGAGAAAAUUAGAAAAGGCAAGUUAAUGGCAGAGAUAUUUUUCACUAACUAGAAUUGCUGGCAGGGUCAUGAAGUGGCUGAGUUGCUAAAUUUAGCAAGCAAAGAAAAUAUAGGAUGACAGUUAUAUUUGAAUUUCAGAGAAAUCACAUUUCUAGUAUAAGUAUGUCCCCCAAAGUACAUGGGAUAUCCUUGUACUAAAAAUGAUUUGUUAACUGAGCACCUGGUAUUUUAUCUGAUAAUCUACGGGUCAGAGUAGGGACAAGAGGCAGAAUUGUCAGAGAAAACCUCUCUUCUAACAUCUUUCCAUGUUGGCAGUAAAAUACUUUUGAAAUAUCUGUGUAGGAAUAAAAAAGAGAAACUAUUCUAUACAGAACCUGUUUGUGUCAGAUACUAUUCAGUGGCUAUACAGUCUGUCUGUCUAUACAUACAUAAUCUUCUCUAUAGUCUUGUGAAGUAGAUUCUUCUAUUAUACCCAUUUCACAGAUAGGAAAACUGAGGCACAGAGAAGUUGUUACCCAGUAAAUCACCAGUAAGCAAGUAGUAGAGUUUGUGAUAAGAACCCCCCAUGAUGUGUCUACUAGCAGCAGAAAUUCAUUUUACUAAAGUCAAGGAAGCUUUUUGUGACAAGUUGCCAUCCCAGCCAGCUGAGGAAGACAUUGUCCUCUGUCCCUCAUUACACUUUUCCCACCCUCAUUGCAGGUUUCUCUGGUAGUAAGACACUAUCCAGUCUCCGGAAGUCUAAAUCCCAAGGAUGACAAAUGUGUCAUUGCUCUCAGCUAUCCUUCAGGGUUGGAGCCAGUGUCUGCCUCCAACCCAGGGGUGACAGAAUCUAUGAAAGGCAAGAAGAUCUCAGUGACUCUUAGAAUCCACCAGGGGAUUAGCACCUGCAGGCUGGGUGUUUCUAUUUGGAUUGUGGAUUGCGUUUGGUGGCACAAUGAAUUAAGAACUCAUUGCAGCCUUCUUCUGCAAGGUGCUUUAAUUACAGCUUCUUUAAUUCCAAUGAGAGCUCCAACUGAAAACAAUACAGAUUGGCUUGCUCUGCCCCAUAAGUGUUACUUGGAAGACCAAUGACCAAGAAAGGUCCUUGCCUAUUCAGUGAAUCUCUGAAAGGCCACUGUAGUUUGAUUCUUGGAGAGGGACUCUUGAGGGAGGGACCACUAACAGUCUCUGCAGCUUGAUUCCCUAAAGCUGGGUGGCCUGGCCAACCCCGGGGAAAAUGGGGGUGUAGUGGACAUCAGUGCUGCCCUAAGCUUCCUAUCCUUCUAGCUGUGAUGGAUGGACGUGUUUGCAGGGACUUGCUGAGUUGGCCUGAAAAGUAGAUUGUGCAGAUUGCAUAAAUCAUUCCCUGACCUCUUCCACCACUCGAGCUGCACAAAUCCAAUUCAGAGCAUCUAAACUGGCGGGCUUCUGAUGGAGUCUUCCUAGGUUUCACAGAUCCUUUAACAGGUUUCCCUCAUUUGUUUAAUGAGGCUUCUCUCAUCUCUCUGCUGCUAGGCUACCAAUGAUAUUGUGAAACUGGGUCAGUUUUUUGGUGCAGGGGGGAAAUUAUUAAGCAACAUCUGUAAGUUCCCUUUGCCUCUUUUUACAGGAUGAUCUGGGCCAGCCAUGAAUUUUUUGGU